GGGUCAUGGGACUCAUACAUCAUCAACAAUAGCCGGCAGUCGUGUUCAAAAUGCUAAUUACUUCGGCUACGCUGAAGGAACUGCAAUUGGAGUUGCACCAAUGGCGAGGAUUGCAAUGUACAAAAUAGCGUUCUACAAUGAUACUCUUAAGGCAGCAGCUGUUGAUGUUUUGGCUGGCAUGGAUCAAGCCAUAGCUGACGGUGUAGAUGUCAUGUCAUUGUCCCUGGGUUUCCCAGAGACAACAUUUGAUGAGAAUCCAAUAGCCAUUGGAGCUUUUGCAGCAUUGAAGAAAGGAAUUUUUGUUGCCUGUUCAGCAGGAAAUUCAGGACCACGUCCAUACUCCAUAGAAAAUGGAGCUCCUUGGAUUACAACAGUUGGUGCAGGAACUGUUGAUAGAGAGUUCGUAGCCCGCGUCACCCUUGGCAAUGAAGAGCUAUCAGUUAUUGGAAAAUCUGUGUACCCAGAGAAUCUGUUUGUCUCCAGGGAACCUAUAUACUUCGGAUAUGGAAAUAGAUCCAAAGAAAUUUGUGAAGGUAACUCAACAGACCCUAGAGCAGUUGCAGGCAAGUAUAUCUUUUGUGCAUUUGACUACAAAGGCAACAUAACCGUAAGUCAGCAAUUGGAGGAAGUGCGCAGAACUAGAGCCGCCGGAGCUAUCAUCAGUGCAGACUCAAGGCAAAAUCUGUUUCCCGGCGACUUUGACAUGCCUUUCGUUACAGUAAACCUGAAUAACGGAGAGUUAGUGAAGAAGUACAUAAUCAAUGCGGAUAAUGCAACUGUUAGUAUCAAGUUCCAGAUCACGAUAUUGGGCACCAAGCCAUCUCCACAAGUAGCUAAAUUUUCAUCACGAGGGCCUUCUCUUCGAUCUCCAUGGAUUCUAAAGCCUGAUAUAUUGGCUCCAGGAGUUGAUAUCUUGGGGGCAUGGGUUCCCAACAGGCCUAUAGCUACAAUUCGUGAUAUUGGUAAGCUACUCACUGAAUAUGCUCUCGAAUCCGGCACAUCAAUGUCUUGCCCUCAUGCAGCUGGUAUAGCCACGCUGCUUAAAGCCACCCACCAUGAGUGGAGUUCAGCUGCCAUCCGUUCAGCAAUGAUGACAACAGCUGAUGUUCUUGAUAAUGCUUAUGAUAUGAUCGCGGACAUAUCAACCGGAGUUGCUGGAACUCCUCUUGAUUUCGGUGCAGGGCAUAUAAAUCCCAAUAAGGCCAUGGAUCCAGGACUUGUGUAUGAUAUUGAGGUCCAGGACUAUAUCAACUACUUGUGUGCGUUGAACUACACAAGUCAACAGAUUAGAGUUCUCACAGGGACAUCAAAUUUUACAUGUGAGCAUGGCAAUCUGGACCUAAACUAUCCAUCCUUUAUAAUCAUCUUGAACAACACCAACACUGCAAGCUUCACAUUCAAGAGGGUAUUGACAAAUGUAGCUGUUACGAGGUCUGUAUAUACUGCUGUAGUGAAGGCUCCAGCGGGUAUGACGGUGGCUGUGCAACCAGUAACAUUAUCCUUUGAUGAAAAGCAUAGUAAAGCCGAGUUCAAUUUGACAGUGAACAUUAAUCUGGGGAACGAUGUCAGUCCAAAACGUAACUAUCUUGGAAAUUUUGGGUAUUUGACAUGGUUUGAAGUUAACGGGAAGCAUCAGGUGAGAGGCCCCAUUGUCUCUGCAUUUUCUGUUUCUAAUGGGCAAUGAUAAAUUCACUUUAUUUGGAUUGGAUAACAAGUCAAGUAGCUAAAUGUUGAGAGCAUGUAGCUUCAAGGAAUGAGUCGUAUGGAGUAGUAAAGUUCAGGAUUCUUUACUUAUUUGCACAAAUCACGUCCAUGCAUUUACUAAGGUACAAGUUAAGAUGAGUAAAGAAUCCUUGUCUAUGAAAUUAAACUGGUGUUGUUUUUUUUAAUUAGACCCACCUCUUUUUAUUCUGUACUUUUCUGAAAUGGAAAAUUAACACAAUAGAAAAUCAAAGAAUAAAUAAAUAUAUAAAUGUAGGAUAUAAUCAGUUCAUUCACAAAUUCAGUAGCGUUAUUUUACCAUCUAUUAGUGUUAGAAGAUAUGUUUAGGACUGCUGAUGUGGAAUCAUACAUGUUGCUUAGUUGAAAGUUUCAACCUGUUCCUAUUUUUCUGGUGUUGGUUAUUUCUUUUGUUGUUCUUGUUGUGAUCGUGGCACAAUCUUUGAACCAUGAUUCUAGUGGGCUGUUAUUUGGCUUUGGUGUGUUAUUUAAGCUUUAAAUUGUAAUGUUUUUUAUUUAAUGAAUUGAGUGAAGUUCUCUUGACAAUUACCGUGGCUCUUAUUUCAUUCUGUAAACUUUGUUUUCUUUUCUUAUUCGAGUAACAACAAUUAGCAACUAGGAAUCUUGGGGAAAAAAAAUACUUAUCUUGAUACAGAAGCAGAAGCCCCAUUGUUUAAUAUCACACCAAUGGAAUAAAAUGGGACUGUAGAAAAGAGAUUUAUCAGCUAAUUUCUGGUUAUUUGAUCUUGUCAUUCUGCUUCCGGUUUCUCUUAUGAUUUUCUGGCUAUUAUUUUCCAUGGAAGCCGCGAAAUCGAGCAUCAACAAGAUAGUUACGUUUUGGACUAGCGACAAUGGAAGAUGUGCACAUAUACAUAUAUCGGCCGUUGGCGUUGCAGCGCCCAGAGGUUAAUAGCAAGCGUCGCAGGCUAGCAUGACACCGGACACAAUAGAUGAUAAAACACAAUGUCACACACCCAAGAAAUCACAAGCUCACCACCACAGCAAACAACAAAAGGAUACAGAAAAAAAUUCACCACCUAAAGUUGUUAAGCUAAAGAUACAGGGCUUAAAAUACUCACCACUCAAUGGAAUCUACCAAAGAGAUACAGAGUUUGAUAAUAACUCAAAGUUCAUCCAAUCCCCAAAAUUAAUUUCUAUAUUUUGGUUACAACUACAUAAGCUUAAAUAAUUUUCUUGGAACAAUCCUCCAACCAUAGAUAUACUACAAAGAAGCCCUUCAAAUGACUUGACUUAAAAGACCAACAUUAAAGCUAGACAUUAAUAAAACAUUGGUAUGCUUAAAACACAGCAAAGAGCAUUAAAAAAAAGUCCCAAGUCCAGAAAUAUUCUUCUUGACUCAAAACUGAACAGCCUGCACUUAACUGAUCAUAACUUACUGUAGAAAGCUCCAAAUUUAGAUUAGUAAAAUUCAUUGGAAAGCUAACAGAAAUAUCUUUCCAAUGAUGUAUGGCUCGAAAAUUAAUUCGAUCUCAUGCAGUACAGUUUAAUUUCCAAAGAUGCCCCUUCUGCACAGAAAUUCUGCUCACUUGAUUAAUGUAAGAACUUGAACUGCACUUGGUAUAACUUGAAUACCAAAUAUUUCAAACACCCCUGUGUUAUAGCAGCUCUUCACUUAAUGUUGACAGUAAUUGGUAAGGAUGUUCUGUUUAUUUUCUCUUUCGCCAAGUCAACAAAACACUUUUAUCAUAAGGUUAAUUUUAAGAAAAAUAUGUCUAAUUGCACCUUGGAGCUGAUUAUGAGAGUGAUGUUGCCGGCAAAGCAGUCUUGUAUAUUUUAAAGCAUGCAAAAAAUGAAUCAAAUUUAGUGGAGUAUAAUCAAAUUUCCAUGUAUAAAUUAAUUAAUUUUCUUAUGCGCUGCAGUUUAGACAAAGUUUUGGGUUUCUUUGUUGGGGCUUUGUCUUUUUUGGUCUAUAAUGUGUAUUGUUGUUCUGUGUUUUCAUUAAAUUAUUGUUGGAUAGCACUAAUGUUUGCUUUGAUAUAAACAGAAGCAGAUUUUACAAUUACGCUAUUACGAAUUUUUUAAACCUGAAAUUGCAACCCAAACUGUAAUUGAGUAGGACACGAACCCGAACCGAAUUUGAAGCUGAAUUGAACGCAACCGAACUUGAAACUGAGCCUAACUAAAUCGAAAUAAAUUCUCUAACCCAAACAGGUAGCAAUUCGUAAAAUCGAACUGAAAAUUGAAAUGUCCACCCCUAUCGCUGGGUUUAUGAAACAUUAUGAUAAUAACUGAUUGCUUUGAAUUGUUCUAGUGUGUAAAGCAUUUUCAUUUACUUGUUGGAUAUUAAGAAAUAAUUAUGGUUUGUUUUUUUCUGACAUUUAUUAGCCCUUGCUUCAAUUGAUGUUUGCUUGAAUAGGUGGAGUUUUGACAACGAAAGAAGCAAGGCAGAUGCAAAUGCAAUAAAUCUAUGAUGGACUUGCAUCGAGCAACGGAAUUUCCUGCACUCUUUUAGUUUUUUAAUAAUGGUUGUUGUAAAUGGAAUUAGGAACCUGACCCGAAAUUAGUAACAAAAACUGUUCUGCAACCCAGACCGUGUUUGACCCCGAAUUAACAACCCGAAACUGAACAGAAUUACGAACCUGAAUCGAACCAAAAUAAAUUUUCAACCCGAAUUGAAUAUUGAUAUCAAUUAUCAUACUUUUCUUGGGAUCAGGCUACGGUGCAACUGUGGUACCGUGCCACAGUUGCACCACAGGUUUCCCCCUUUUCCUGAUGUGUGCUCUGAUGCAAUUAACAAGAGCUUCUUGUCGAAGCAUCAUCAUUUUUCUUUUUUGAUGAUAAUAUUUCGACGUGUUUUCACAUUUCUAAUAGGUUCAACCAAUUUGACUCCUUACUCUGCAACUUUGUUGAGUGGAUUUCUUGCUGUGAUAUCUGUAAAUAUAGUUAUUGCAUUUUACAUUUAUAUGGCAAAUGAGGGAACCUUCAGACAAACGUGAGCCAGAUCCUAAAUUUCUUGCCGAGGCCAAAGCUAGUGUAACCCAGUCUACCGGUAAAGCUGAGGUUUCUUCUGAAUCCCUCAAGAAAGAAGUGUAGGAUACCAAAGCCCUGGCCAUUUCACCUUGAGAAAAUUUUCAACUGAAAACGUGCGACCAGGGCCCAUUGUUGAUUGGAUAAAGUUGAAAUAUGCUUGGUUGUCUACGUUUAUUAGCUUCAAAAGUGCCUGAUUUCAGUGUGAACACUACAAUUUUGUGAGAUGCAUGAUUUUGUGGUGAUAACUUAAUUCUUUUUUCUUUUGGGAACAGAACUUUAAUGUGGAUGAAGUGUCAGGGGAGGUGGAAUACUCGUAUAAUAAUAAUAACCUCAUAUGGUGUAAUUAUUGGAAACCAGCCAUGAUUAACGGAUGAGGAUACUCUUCUAUCACUUUAUUAGCUUCAAAAGUGCCUGCAGCCCACACUUUUUUUUUGUUUCAACUUAGAACAAUUUUUUUUUAAAAAAAUUAAAUGUGUUGAUGAGCUCUUGGUUCUAUUCGAUCUUGUGAAAAAUGGUAAUGUAAUGUUGGUCUUGAACCUUCAGUAAUGAAGAUUUAUUCGGGUGAUUGAUAGUUGAACUAUUACAAUUUGAUAAUUUGCAAUGGUUAGAAAAUUUGAGGUUCCAUUUUUGUUUAUCAAGGUUGGGAAAUGGUUUUUCAUUAUAAAUAUUUAAAACAAAUAAAUUGAAUAGUACAACUUCUCAGAGGUUCUCACUACAUGAAUUAUCCAAGAUUAUCCCCUCAAUGCUGCUAUAAUUAAGCUUGCCCCAAUCAUUAUACAUCUUUACAAAAUUUUAAAGAGAUCUAAAGGAUCUUUUUUCCUCAAAUUCCUCUUUGGCCUUAUUCUAUCAUCCCCCCUCUCCCCGUUCUACUUUUGGAAGACCCUGCGUUAUAUCACCAGGUCUCGAUUAUGGAAUUCAUGAAAUCCUAAUCAUUGCAAGUAACUUAUAAUGCAUGUUUCUGAUUCAUCCUUGGAGAAUUAUUAGAUAACCAAAAUUUUAAUGCAACUUUAAGCAUCAUUUGUUUAUUUUUAUGGUCAAUGGAAUAUUCAAUAAAUAAAUGUUUCACUGCAUGAUCAUAUCACACUUCAUUCUUGAAAGAACCUUGGCUGACAGUAAUUAACAUAGAGAUUCAACAAAUAGUGUCGCCCGAUAAAUUUUUGAUAAUAUUGGAAUGCCAUAUUACUUUGGAAAGAUCCACUUGGAAGAAAUAUCUGUAAGCGGCUUGAAAAAUAGCAACUAACUAGUGAAAUAAAGGUAAAAACUUGGCAAGUCUAAUGAAAGUUCAGCAGCUAUAACAUCCACCUAAAUUUAUGAAUCCAUACCAAAAACAUUAGCUAACAACUUCACAUGAAUCCAUGAUUUACAAAAUUGAACUCGUUAAUCUUAAAAUUGUCACUAAACAGAUACAGAGAGGCACAAAUAUUGUCAAUCUGUUAUAUUAAAGCAGAGUUUGGCCUCAUCCCGAGGACCGUUAAUCUCGAAUUUGUAUUCCUGAGUUCAUAUAAGCCAGUACGGACAAUCCACAUUCACAAAAACCAACAUACCUAAAAACAACACAAAAAGAGUAACCGAUGCAGCAUAUGAACAUCAAGCCACAAGCUUCUUUCCUACCAUUUGGUUCUUAUGAAGUUUUAUUAGAUGGUGUUUGGGCAUAACAGUCCAACCGACAGAUCUAGAUUCAAAUGAAUGAAUGCCACGGAAAGUCGCCGAUGAGCUGGCUUAAAAACCUCAAUUUGUUGCCACUGUAUUCUAUUAUGAGGGUGAAAAGUCGAGGACGUGUAGGAUUGGGAUGUCUGUUUUUAUAAACUACACGCAUGUUGCUGGUGGGUCUAUGCAGAGAAUUAAUUGCUGCCACUGACUUGUCGUUGUCUUUUGCCACCAAAUUUUUCAAUCAACUGCCACUGAUUUGUACUAUGAUGAGCUUGGUAAAUUUCUAAUAAUAUUAAUUUGGUGGUCCAGCGCAGAAGAUAUUAACUUGUCAGAUGUAACCAAGUACUUCCUUAGUUUUCCCAAUUCUCUCCUAUUCAGAUAAGCGGGAAAAAAAAAGAAAAAAGGCUCAUCAUAGUACAAAUCUACUAGGAGAGACGAUCAUGACAAGUUUAAAGAAUCCUAUGAAAAGUUUACAUAUGAAGACAAUCAUGCUCAAAUUUGUGGAUGAGUUGUUUGGGGGAUAAAAGAGGCAGCAUGAUUGAAUACGAUUUCGUGCAAAUCAUGCUCCCCUCGACAUUAGAGUUAACAGCUGGCCUCCUCGAGUUGUGAUUUAUAGAAGCUCCUAAGCAAUCUGCUUUAGUCAUUACGUAGCAGGUAGGUCGCUCUGCAGUUUUGCUCGCACAAGGAUCUCACAAGGAGAGACUCAAACAAAAGUCAACCUAAACACUCGGUCAUGAGUCAACUUGAGAAUUUUAGGGUCUAGUGAUGAGUAUAAUUUAUAUAUAUAUUUUAACUUUUAUUAUAUAAUUGUUAGUUAUUUUUAUUUAUUAUUUUUAAUUAAUUGAAUUAUUUUAUUGAAUAGGGAAUUAAUUGGAGAUUAUGGAUAAAAAGUGCAUAAAGAAUAAUAAUUAAACAACAUUAAAGAUCAAAUCAAUUUAUGGAAGCAAUUAAGCAGAUGUGCAUGAUAUUCAAGAUGAAGAAACCGAAGCCAAUAAAUUAAAUCAAUCAUGCUCAUGCAAACCAAGAAGACGUUUAAAGCUAAAGCUCUAAAAGACAUUAUUAAUUGGCCAUGUGCUUUUAAGUCAAACAAGUGGCUUGCUUUCAAACAUUAAUGAGGAAACAAUUAAAAAUAGGCUUGGUGAGCAGGUGAGUGAAGCCAAAACAAAUUAAAAGGCCAAACCUUUUGAUUGUAGAGUUGGAAAAGUCGGUGGGGCUCAUUUUAAAGACUAAGGGUGCGUUUGAGAUUGAGGUGUUGUAGCUUAAAAGGUACAGUUGCUGUGGAAAAAAAGUUGUGACUAUGAAAUAAAAAUUAAUAAUAUGUAGUAAAUAUAAAUUUUAAAUAAUAAUUUUGAUAAAAUUAUUAAAGAUAUAAUAGAUUUUUCAUUAUACAAGUGAAAAAUUAUAUUAACAUAGCUUCCAAGUUACAACAACUAGUAUUUUCCAAACACUUUAGUACUGUACUUUAAAAGCUACAGCUGCCUAACCUCAAUCUCAAACGCACCCUAAAUAUAAAAGCAAGCUUUUGGCUUUUGGAGAAGGGGAGCAGCCGCCAAGAAGAAAAAGAAGCAGGCGCGAUUCGGGAGAGACAGGAGCGGCAGCAACUGUUCAAUUUUUCCCAUGGCUGGGUUUAUUUUAUUUGUUGCUCCCAAUUCAAGUAUGUCUAGUUAAUUUUCUUAUACUGAGGUUAAUGAUGAAACAAUAUUUAAUGAAAUAAUUAUCUUUUUAUUUAAUUAAUUCCCUAUAUAUGUGCUUUAAUGUUUAUGGUUCUUGUUUCACAUGAUUAAUUGGAUGUUAUUAAAAUAUUUUCAUCAAUUCUGUCAUGCAUUAUUGAUUGUUAGGAUUUAUAUUCGAUUAAAUUUAUGCUUGGAUCUAUAAAGUUUAUACAUGAUUAUCUUUGAUUUUAUGUCUUUCAUUAAAUUGUUUACAUAGAGUGCUUAGGAAAACUUUGACUUUCUGUUAUUCAAUAUGUUUACAUGGGAUGCUUAGAUGUCAUACUAUGAAGUAGAAAAAGAACCUACAUUAGAUUUAAUUACUUGGGUUUAAUUGUUAUAUUCAUGAGAUGAUAUAAAUUGAUUUCGAGUUGUCACUCUAAAAUUGGAGAUUAAUUAAUAAUUAGAUAAUUAUUAGUUGAAUAGUGGUGGAUUCUGAAACCUUAGUAAUUUUGUCUUAUUGAAUUCUCAUUUGCUUUAAUUGUUUUCUUAGUUUAAUUAGUUUAAUUUUCUUUAAAAAAACUCAAUUUGCCCAACUAGGUUAGGAUUAAUAUUUAUUUUAGAUUUAAAUUAGACUUUUCAAUUCGUAACAAUCUAUGUAGGUUUAACCUCGUUACCAUUAUUCUAUCUCUAAAUUCUUGCGCUUGUGAGUAUAUUAAAAUUUUUCACAACAUCUCGGUCCUCUAUAAGAACUCUAGAAAAUUUAAAAUCAAGUAAGUUUUCUCUUACUCACAGGAUCUCUGGACUUUCGCUCUUUUCCAACUUUUUCUCAUAUUUACUUUAAAAGUAAUUUUCGAAAGCAUUUGGAAUUAAGUCACAAGAGCUGUGGCAUAAGUUUUUCCUAAAAGACCUAAUUUUUUACUUGAACGUCGAAGAGUUCACGCUGGAAGACACAUCUAAUGUCCCACUAACUGUUUUUGUGAACGCAAGUGUAUUUCAAGUGCUCGUGGUUGCUUGCAUUUGCUCGAAGAAAUGAAGUGCGAGCAAGUAUCGUCUCCCAUAAAAACAAAUUUAAGUAUUGGUGUAGACACCUGCUCGCAACAACAUGGACCAGAUUUUUGCAUCUAACAUGAGUCAUAGAAAAUAAAACAAUAUUCAGUCUCUUGAUGCUAAAUGGCAUUAGCAAGUCAAGGAUCCUUUGUAAAAGGAAGACAUUCAUCCUCAAAUUCUAAUUCAGUAAAUAUUUGCUUUGUCCUUAAUAUAAAUGCAUUUGGAAAGUUGCUCUCUUUCUCACCUGACGAUCCUCUUGCUACCAUAGGUUAAAAAAAGAAAAAAAAAAAGAAAAAAAAAGUUUUAAGAGUUGCUUUCAGUCCCAGAAUUAUUUGAGAGGCCUACUUUUCCCAGAAUUAUUUGAGAGGCUGCUGUUUGACUCAGUCAAUAAUUGCUCCUAUUGAUCUCCAUCGUCCAAUUGGAAUUUCAGUAGUGAGGCAGGAUUGAUGCUUCCAAAAUGAAGAGUAUUAAAAAAGGAAGCAAGAUUAUUUUCACCUUGUUUUCUUCGAACAUUCCAGGCAAGUCGGUCCUUUUUUUUAUUUUGCUUUUUUUUUUCCUUCGAUUUUUCUCUUGAUCUCCACCAUCAAUUUGUUCUUUUCUUCCAACUUUUCUCUUGAUAACUUCAUCAGCGUACAUUAUACGCUUGCGUUUAAAAGGUUCAGUAGGCUUGCGACUGUGAACUGAAGCAGCAAACUGAGUGCAAACCACACUGUUUUUUAGGCAGAAAACGCGCAGGGGAACAGUGAGUACAGCAUGAUGUACAUCUCCCAAUUUGAGAUAUAAGAUCCCCUCUGUUUCAGCCCUGGCUUUGUAGCCAACACGUUCAAUCUUCAAAAGCCAAAAAAAAUUGGCUUCCAUCCCAGUUAAAGUAAAUUUAUCGUGUAAAUUUCCUCAAUAGCCGUCAUAGCAAGUGCUCGGAACCCCAGGUAAAUCAGUCCUUACAAUAGUUUUACCAAAAAAAAAAAAAAAAAAUUGAAAGACAUUGACGUUUUCAAUGCCAAUGAAUUUUACAUGCAUAGCAUGUCUAUACAAGUAUAAAAGAAGCUUUUAGUAUGUAUUUCAAAUGUCAUACCAAUUCAAGUCGGUGACAAGAAUCAUGGGAGCAUUCACAGGCAUCAUUUUGAUGAUCCUCUCUAUUUUACUCUUGGUCUUGUCUGCCGCCUCAGCAUCUAUGUUAAGAGAUCGUAAAACGUAUAUUAUCCACAUGGACAAGUCGGCAAUGCCAGCUCCAUUUUCCACCCACCACCACUGGUACAUGUCCAUUCUUUCAUCCCUUUCUUCACCUGAUGGUGAUGCCCCAACCCAUCUCUACACCUACAACCAUGUCAUGGAUGGAUUCAGUGGCGUGUUAUCGCAGACGCACCUCGACAAACUCCAGAAAAUGCCAGGUCACCUUGCCACGUACCUGGAAACAUUUGGCCACCUGCACACCACCCACACCCCAAAAUUUCUCGGCCUAAAGAAACAAGCUGGGCUAUGGCCAGCUGCAGGUUUUGGUAGUGACGUUAUUGUGGGUGUUAUUGAUUCUGGAGUUUGGCCAGAGAGUCCGAGCUUUAAAGAUGACGGCAUGCCUCCAGUGCCUGAGCGAUGGCGCGGUGCCUGUGAAGUGGGUGUUGAGUUUAAUGCUUCUCAUUGCAACAGAAAACUGAUAGGAGCACGCUCAUUCAGCAAAGGGCUGAAGCACUAUGGCUUGAACAUAUCAACAACAUUUGAUUAUGAUUCUCCGAGAGAUUUCUUGGGUCAUGGGACUCAUACAUCAUCAACAAUAGCCGGCAGUCGUGUUCAAAAUGCUAAUUACUUCGGCUACGCUGAAGGGACUGCAAUUGGAGUUGCACCAAUGGCGAGGAUUGCAAUGUACAAAAUAGCGUUCUACAAUGAUACUCUUGAGGCAGCAGCUGUUGAUGUUUUGGCUGGCAUGGAUCAAGCCAUAGCUGACGGUGUAGAUGUCAUGUCAUUGUCCCUGGGCUUCCCAGAGACAACAUUUAAUGAGAACCCAAUAGCCAUUGGAGCUUUUGCA
rnacentral:lncRNA from 1 species